rnacentral:rRNA from 1 species
GAUGAACGCUGGCGGCGUGCCUAAUACAUGCAAGUCGAGCGAAUGGAUUAAGAGCUUGCUCUUAUGAAGUUAGCGGCGGACGGGUGAGUAACACGUGGGUAACCUGCCCAUAAGACUGGGAUAACUCCGGGAAACCGGGGCUAAUACCGGAUAACAUUUUGAACCGCAUGGUUCGAAAUUGAAAGGCGGCUUCGGCUGUCACUGAUGGAUGGACCCGCGUCGCAUUAGCUAGUUGGUGAGGUAACGGCUCACCAAGGCAACGAUGCGUAGCCGACCUGGGAGGGUGAUCGGCCACCCUGGGACUGAGACACGGCCCAGGCUCCUACGGGAGGCAGCAGUAGGGAAUCUUCCGCAAUGGACGAAAGUCUGACGGAGCAACGCCGCGUGAGUGAUGAAGGCUUUCGGGUCGUAAAACUCUGUUGUUAGGGAAGAACAAGUGCUAGUUGAAUAAGCUGGCACCUUGACGGUACCUAACCAGAAAGCCACGGCUAACUACGUGCCAGCCGCCGCGGUAA